ensembl:snRNA U6 U6 spliceosomal RNA
AUGCUUGCUUCAGCAGCACUUACACUAAAACUAGAAUGAUUCAGAGAAGAUUGACAUGGCCCCAGAGCCAGGAUGACAUGCAAAUUCCUGAAGUCUUCCAUAUCUUU